rnacentral:rRNA from 1 species
AUUGAACGCUGGCGGCAUGCGUAACACAUGCAAGUCGAACGGUGUUUGGUGCUUGCACCAGACAUAGUGGCGGACGGGUGAGUAAUGCGUAGGAAUCUGUCUUAGAGAGGGGGACAACCCGAGGAAACUUGGGCUAAAACCGCAUAUUCUCGAGAGAGGAAAGCAGGGACCGGAAACGGCCUUGUGCUCUAAGGUGAGCCUACGUCGGAUUAGCUAGUUGGUAGGGUAAAAGCCUACCAAGGCGAUGAUCUGUAGCUGGUCUGAGAGGACGGACAGCCACACUGGGACUGAGACACGGCCCAGACUCCUACGGGAGGCAGCAGUGGGGAAUAUUGGACAAUGGGGGGAACCCUGAUCCAGCGAUGCCGCGUGUGUGAAGAAGGCCUGCGGUUGUAAAGCACUUUCAGGUGGGAAAGAGAAGCGUCUUGUGAAUAAUGGACGUGGAGACGUUACUCACAGAAGAAGCACCGGCUAACUCUGUGCCAGCAGCC